UACAGAGGUGGCAAGCGUUGUUCGGAAUUACUGGGCGUAAAGGGCGCGUAGGCGGCCUUGUCAGUCAGACGUGAAAUCCCCAGGCUUAACCUGGGAACUGCGUCUGAUACUACAAGGCUUGAGUGCGGGAGAGGGAUGUGGAAUUCCAGGUGUAGCGGUGAAAUGCGUAGAUAUCUGGAGGAACACCGGUGGCGAAGGCGGCAUCCUGGACCGACACUGACGCUGAGGCGCGAAAGCCAGGGGAGCAAACGGG
rnacentral:rRNA from 1 species